rnacentral:tRNA from 1 species
UAGUGCAAGUCUUAAUUUAAAUAAAGUAUCUGAGUUGCAUUCAGGUGAUGUGGGUGGAAUCUCACAGACUUU